AGAAGUAGUAAUAAAUAGACAGCAACCAGAGCGUGAGCUGGUUAGGAAGGCAUUUCACGGGGUUGGACAAGGGAACGUUGUUUCAAAAGCAACAAGAAGGUGGAGAUAAGAUGCUGACGUUCAUUGACCUGCAAGUAAUGUGAAUGUGGAGGAGAUUAUGAGUAGAAUGUGAUCUUUGAGCUGUUUUGGAUUUCUCAUGAGAGGUGAAGCUGAGAAUGAGAGGGUCCGGAGAGAGAGUCUCCUCAUGUCCUCCACGAUCCAGGAACCAGCAGGACAGCUCUGCGCCAGAAGACAGCCAUCAGCACACACACAACCCAAUACGGCUGACAGAUCCAAGCAGCCAGGAAGGCACAGGGGCCCUAGGAAGGUAC
rnacentral:lncRNA from 1 species